CUGUAUAUUGGUAACAAAGAAAACUCAACGUCAGGAUUCAAAUAAAAUAUAGAUAUUUCAGUUUAUUAAAUGAGGAUAGUCCCAAGACUCUGGGAGUGUAAAUAUAACAUAAAUGAAUUCUCAACUUGAUGGGAUUAAAAUACAAAUAUUACAAAUAGCCAAAACCCUUAAUAAAUAUAGCUCUAAAUCUCACUUAACCGUGCGGGAGUACCGUUCCUAUACAAUCUUUCCCCUGUAGCCUAUAUACAUGUACUUAAAUAUAAUAAAUUGAUUUAUAAAAUUAGAUUAUUUCAUCAGCUCCCAGUCCCUAAAUUAUCAAGCAUUUACCCAACGGGAUAUUUCCAUGGUCAUUUCCAAUGUGUGGAUGUUGUCCAGAAGUGGACUCGACCGUCUGAUCUGCCGUGGCAGAUCAAACCAACUUCCGUGCAAACAGCUGAGCUCGUUAUUUAAGGCAUCGGGCUCGGCCGUUAUGACGUCAUACCGCAUGCUAUACAAACCCGCCGUUAUGGGGAAAGCAGUAAACAAGAUGGGAGAACUGAAACACGUGAAUAACGGCGUUUUGACGAUAUGUAUUAUCAAAAGGCAAUAGAGGGAGUUGUGAUUGGGGAAUUAAUGAAACGAAAGGGUUUAAAUGAUGCAUGGAACUAUAAAUAAGACCAAAUGUAUCGUCGAGGAAACUCGGGUAAUUCACUCCCGUUAGUUAUGACGAUACCUCGGGAUAUGAAUGGUAUGACAGAUGUACGAAUUUAUUUUCGUAACACUGCUCCCUCCCCUGUAAAGCAUUCGUCCUCGAAUGGAAUCAACCAUCUGAUCUCAAGUGAAUUUCUUUCCUAACGUAGAAAAAGAAUAUUCCAACUCCUGGAAGAUCCAUCCUCAGCUGUUCCUGAUGACAGACACUUCCUAAUGACGCUGUGGGAGCUGAUGGUAAAUCGGGAGAACAAGAAUUUCUGAAGUCACUCCCCCCUUGAGAUGCAUCUUCACUUAUCCCAACUGAUCUUGGAUUGAAGAUUAUCUCACCGGAAUCUCCUAAUGGACUAUUCUCCCGGGACAUUUUUACACAAAAAUUGAUAGAAAAAUUACUACUAAAAAAAUGUUAUUUUGAGUUUUAUCUUCUUUGUCCAAUCAGAUAUAUUGGGAAUAAAAAAAUAUCCCACUUCUGACACCAAUGUUGCGUUUUUUAAAAACUGUCCCGCUUAUAAAUUAUAUUUUACUGAACAUGGGUUUUAUAUAUAACCCGGGAUGUUGUGAAACGCAACUUGUGGGUCUCCCAAAUCUGUAUAUUGGUACCAAAAAAAACUCAAAGUCAGGAUUCAAAUAAAAUAUAGAUAUUUCAGUUUAUUA